rnacentral:lncRNA from 1 species
CUGACCUCGACCAGCAGUUUCAGUGGAAUGUGGGAUCCUGGUAAAAGGUGUUGGCACCCUUUCAAAAAAUUGUUGGUACCUUUGUACAGAGCUGUGGUCAUAUCAAUUGGCACAAUACUUUUGGAAAUUACAAUUGUUCCGUGAAAGGGCCAUUUACGCAGAGUGAUGCCCAAGUGUCAAAGAAGUCCAGAAACCAAAGCAGGAGGCUGUCAAAUCCAGUUUGUUGAUUUUAGGUCACUUACUAGGGCAACUUAAAGACAGAAGCAUGCUCUUGGGCAGCCACGAGAUACGUAGGUCUCUGUACUGCAACCCCCGA